rnacentral:rRNA from 1 species
UACGAAGGGGGCUAGCGUUGUUCGGAAUCACUGGGCGUAAAGGGCGCGUAGGCGGCUCUAUAAGUCGGGGGUGAAAGCCUGUGGCUCAACCACAGAAUUGCCUUCGAUACUGUAGAGCUUGAGACCGGAAGAGGUAAGUGGAACUGCGAGUGUAGAGGUGAAAUUCGUAGAUAUUCGCAAGAACACCAGUGGCGAAGGCGGCUUACUGGUCCGGUUCUGACGCUGAGGCGCGAAAGCGUGGGGAGCAAACAGG